GGAUUAGAUACCCUGGUAGUCCACGCUGUAAACGAUGAGAACUAGACGUUGGGCGGAUUACCGUUCAGUGUCGUAGCUAACGUAUUAAGUUCUCCGCCUGGGGAGUACGGCCGCAAGGCUGAAACUCAAAGGAAUUGACGGGGGCCCGCACAAGCGGUGGAGCAUGUGGUUUAAUUCGAUGCAACGCGAAGAACCUUACCUGCCCUUGACAUCCUGGGAAGGUCUUAGAGAUAAGACUGUGCCUUCGGGAACCCAGUGACAGGUGCUGCAUGGCUGUCGUCAGCUCGUGCUG
rnacentral:rRNA from 1 species